AUUGAACGCUGGCGGCAGGCCUAACACAUGCAAGUCGAACGAGUGGCGGACGGGUGAGUAAUGUCUGGGCAACUGCCUGAUGGCGGGGGAUAACUCCUGGAAACGGUAGCUAAUACCGCAUACCAUCGGAUGUGCCCAGAUGGGAUUAGCUAGUUGGUGGGGUAAAGGCUCAACUAGGCGACGAUCCCUAGCUGGUCUGAGAGGAUGACCAGCCAAACGGGAACGGAGACACGGUCCAGACUCCUACGGGAGGAAGCAGUGGGGAAUAUUGCACAAUGGGCGCAAGCCUGAUGCAGCAAUGCCGCGUGUAUGAAGAAGGCCGUCGGGUUGUAAAGUACGGUCAGCGGGGAGGCGGUACCCGCAGAAGAAGCACCGGCUAACUCCGUGCCAGCAGCCGCGGUAAUUC
rnacentral:rRNA from 1 species